UGAGGAAUAUUGGUCAAUGGACGGAAGUCUGAACCAGCCAAGUAGCGUGCAGGAUGACGGCCCUAUGGGUUGUAAACUGCUUUUGUAUGGGGAUAAAGUUAGGGACGUGUCCCUAUUUGCAGGUACCAUACGAAUAAGGACCGGCUAAUUCCGCGCCAGCAGCCGCGGUAAUACGGAAGGUCCAGGCGUUAUCCGGAUUUAUUGGGUUUAAAGGGAGCGUAGGCUGGAGAUUAAGUGUGUUGUGAAAUGUAGACGCUCAACGUCUGGAUUGCAGCGCAUACUGGUUUCCUUGAGUACGCACAACGUUGGCGGAAUUCGUCGUGUAGCGGUGAAAUGCUUAGAUAUGACGAAGAACUCCGAUUGCGAAGGCAGCUGACGGGAGCGCAACUGACGCUUAAGCUCGAAGGUGCGUGUAUCAAACAGGAUUAGAUACCCUGGUAGUCCGCACAGUAAACGAUGGAUGCCCGCUGUUGGUACCUGGUAUCAGCGGCUAAGCGAAAGCAUUAAGCAUCCCACCUGGGGAGUACGCCGGCAACGGUG
rnacentral:rRNA from 1 species